rnacentral:rRNA from 1 species
UGGGGAAUAUUGGACAAUGGGCGCAAGCCUGAUCCAGCAAUGCCGCGUGAGUGAUGAAGGCCUUCGGGUCGUAAAGCUCUUUCAGUAGGGAAGAUAAUGACGGUACCUACAGAAGAAGCUCCGGCUAACUUCGUGCCAGCAGCCGCGGUAAUACGAAGGGAGCUAGCGUUACUCGGAAUUACUGGGCGUAAAGCGUGCGUAGGCGGUUUAGAAAGUUGAAAGUGAAAGCCCAGGGCCUAACCCUGGAACCGCUUUCAAAACUACUAGACUAGAGUAUUGAAGGGGAUAGCGGAAUUCCUAGUGUAGAGGUGAAAUUCGUAGAUACUAGGAGGAACACCGGAGGCGAAGGCGGCUAUCUGGUCAAAUACUGACGCUGUUGCACGAAAGCGUGGGGAGCAAA